UAAUUUUAAAAUUAAAUAUAUCUAACUAAAUAUAAAAUUUCUCGAGUUCUAUUCCUUCAAUUUCCGAUUUCUAUUCAAUUAAUAAUUUAAUAAUAAUAAUCAAUAUAUCAAUCACAUCUCUUGUUUUCUCUCCUCCCAAAAAAUCAACAUAAACCCUAAUCUCACUUGUCUCUCCAUCGUCUCUGCUUGCUGCGUCCUUGUUCAAUAGUCCAAUUGUCCCUCACGCCGAUGCUGCCUCUCCAUUUGCAUUCUUGUUCGGUUUGGUCCGGUCGUACAUUUGCAUGCUUGUCUCUCUGUUGGUUCAUUCUCUCCACUGUGCCCGGCCGCUCAUCCUCAAUCAUGCUAGUAUUGCUCAUCGCAAUCUUGUCCUUAGACACUGAAGGUAGUGAAAAUAUUUUGAGAUUUGAGGUUUCCAGUUGGGUUUAUAGUUUGAAAUAUGGGUUCUUGAGAUUUGAGAUUUGUGAUUUAGGGUUUGUGUGUACUGAUUUGGGCUAUUGAAGAUUAGAGAAGGAAAUUUUCAGAUUUGUAUAUACGGUUCUAGAUUUAGGUGUAUGAUUGAUUUGAGUGGAGAUAUGAAAUUCCGUGUUUCCUGAUUCAACUUCUCCAUAAUCUGCAAUAAGAUUUGAUGAUGUUUGUGGGUUUGAAAAGAAUUUUGAUUAUGCUUUUGAGUAUAUAAAUAGAGUAAAGAAGGAUAAUUUUGGAAGAAAAAAAUUUUUCUCACUUUUUAAUUUUGAAAGUAAAGGUAAUGUUUCAAAUUAAUGGCAAUGGACCAUUCAAUAGAUUUUGUAAAAAAAAAAAUACUUUAAUUUUGAAAUAUAAAUAUAUAAAAUUUGAUGUCAACUCGUAUUUAUAACAUGAAUUUAAUGUGACCGAGUAUUGCCGUAUUUCAAAAUCACAGUAAAGUUUUGAAUAUAUUUUUAAAAAUUAAAUCUCAUUUAUUUAUUGAAAAUAAUUUGUAUUUAUAAAAUAUUUUUUUAAAAAAUAACUUUAAUGAGAUAAUUUAUUUUUUAUUAUUUAAUUUUAAUUUAAAAAAUAAAAUUUAUUAAUAAAUUUAUAUAUAAAAGUCUUAAUAAAAUCUCAAAAUGAGUCAUUUUUCUUAAAAUUAUUUAUUUUUUCUAUUAGAAAAAUAUUUUUCGUUAAUUAAAUUUUUUAAAUACCUUAAAUUUGAAAAAGGUAAUUUCUUAUUUCGAAUCUUACUGAUGAGAAUAUUAAGGACUUUUUUAAAGUAAAAAGAGUGAAAAAAAAAAUUACCUUGAGCUGUAAAUUUUGUCAGUUGAAGAAGCCAGUGGAUGAUUCAAAUCCAAAAAGAAGAAAAAGAAAUCAUGAGGAAAAUGAAGCAAGUAAUUAGCAUUCAAUGCAUAUAAAAAAAAUAUUAUAAUGGGUAUAUUCAUGUUACGAAUUUAAAGCAGCGAUUUAAUAAUAAUAAUUUAAAAUUUAUUAUAUUUAUUUUCGUUGUUGAGUAUAAAAUAACGAUUUAUUUACUUUUUAGCAAUUAAUAAAAAAUACAGUUGAAACUAUGAAUAACUCAUUUUAUAACUAUUUUUUUCUUUCUUCUAAUGUCAUAAUUUGCAAACUUACCCAAAAGCACAAUUAGCU
rnacentral:lncRNA from 1 species